GUUUUAUUAUACAAAAAAAUGAAUAGUGAAACAUAAAAACAUGUUGUAAAUUAUAUAUUUGGACUUUAUACAAUUUUAUGUAAUUGUGAUAUAUGAGCGACUAAUACAGAAGAUCCGCGCCGAUGAAGAGGUGUUAAUGAGCAAAACACCUUAAAAUAAGGCUCAUCUAGCCCCGAGUAUAUAUACUCAACAGACACAACAAGAUUUUCAACUAUAUAGCAGAAAACGAAGUACAAGCUGCACCGGAGCCAUGCAAAGAACUGUUAGAUCUAGUGUUAAAACCAGAGAAAUUGAAGAAAAAGAAAGAAGACAAAAACGACAAUGAUAAAGAUAAACGAAAGAAAGAAAAAAUAAAACAACUUAAAAAAAUGCUGGAAAUGAUAACGCAAUGGGGACCGAAGAAGGAAUCUGAAGAAGUCGAAAUAGCGAAGCCUAAAGGAAAGAUGGAAGGAUUGGUGACAAGCUAUUUGAACUUCUUGUCAUAUUUAAUGACAUUUUGAUAGAAGACACUGUAUAAAUAUUUAAUAUUUUACCUGCAAAGGAUGUAAAAUAAAAUGCCAAAACAAAUUAUAUUAAUUUAAUCAGACUCAUUUCACAAUGUAAACUGAUAACACACUAAUUUAUAUUACAACACAGGCCGGCAUAGGUACGGCCGAUGUUGUAACACAAACACACAUUCACCGACACACAGUGCCGCGUAUAAAUAACAAAAAUGAACGCAUUCUUUAUAUACAAAAAUCAUCACUAUGGACGCGUACUGCCAAAUACGUCCGAUAAGUAUAAAAUGGAAUAUUUCGAGUCACACAGUGCUAUUGAUAAUAUAGUAAAGACGGGAUAGGACACACAUCUAGACAACUUAUAUAACCGGAACAGGUUAAAUGCGGUUAACCCCUGCGCGUUCUUAUAUUAUACCAUUUGGUAUUCAAUGUC